rnacentral:rRNA from 2 species
GAUUGACCUCGGAUCAGGUAGGGAUACCCGCUGAACUUAAGCAUAUCAAUAAGCGGAGGAAAAGAAACCAACCGGGAUUGCCUCAGUAACGGCGAGUGAAGCGGCAAGAGCUCAAAUUUGAAAGCUGGCCCCUUCGGGGUCCGCGUUGUAAUUUGCAGAGGAUGCUUUGGGUGCGGCCCCCGUCUAAGUGCCCUGGAACGGGCCGUCAGAGAGGGUGAGAAUCCCGUCUUGGGCGGGGUGUCCGUGCCCGUGUAAAGCUCCUUCGACGAGUCGAGUUGUUUGGGAAUGCAGCUCUAAAUGGGUGGUAAAUUUCAUCUAAAGCUAAAUACUGGCCGGAGACCGAUAGCGCACAAGUAGAGUGAUCGAAAGAUGAAAAGCACUUUGAAAAGAGAGUUAAACAGCACGUGAAAUUGUUGAAAGGGAAGCGCUUGCGACCAGACUCGCCCUCGGGGUUCAGCCGGCACUCGUGCCGGUGUACUUCCCCGGGGGCGGGCCAGCGUCAGCUUGGGCGGCCGGUCAAAGGCCUCCGGAAUGUAGUGCCCCCCGGGGCACCUUAUAGCCGGAGGUGCAAUGCGGCCAGCCUGGGCUGAGGAACGCGCUUCGGCACGGACGCUGGCAUAAUGGUCGCAAACGACC